rnacentral:tRNA from 1 species
CAUCAAGAAGCUAAAUUUCAGCAUUAACCUUUUAAGUUAAAGAGUGGGAUCUUAAAGUCCCCUUGAUGG